rnacentral:rRNA from 1 species
UACGGAGGGUGCGAGCGUUGUCCGGAAUCACUGGGCGUAAAGGGCGCGUAGGCGGCGCGGAUAGUCGGCGGGGAAAGCCCGGAGCUCAACUCCGGGUCGGCCGUCGAUACUUCCGGGCUUGAGCACUGUAGAGGCAGAUGGAAUUCCGGGUGUAGCGGUGGAAUGCGUAGAGAUCCGGAAGAACACCGGUGGCGAAGGCGGUCUGCUGGGCAGUUGCUGACGCUGAUGCGCGACAGCGUGGGGAGCAAACAGG